rnacentral:rRNA from 1 species
UACGAAGGGGGCUAGCGUUGCUCGGAAUUACUGGGCGUAGAGGGAGCGUAGGCGGAUAGUUUAGUCAGAGGUGAAAGCCCAGGGCUCAACCUUGGAAUUGCCUUUGAUACUGGCUAUCUUGAGUUUGGGAGAGGUGAGUGGAACUCCGAGUGUAGAGGUGAAAUUCGUAGAUAUUCGGAAGAACACCAGUGGCGAAGGCGACUCACUGGCCCAAUACUGACGCUGAGGCUCGAAAGCGUGGGGAGCAAACAGG